rnacentral:lncRNA from 1 species
ACGCCAUUUUCCACCAGGAUAAGAGGUUCUUAAUUAAGGAACUCUCCAGGAAGAAGAAGGUACAUAUUUGAUUGUUUUUCUUGAUAUUUUUAUGACAGUUAAUUAAAAGCGUUAUAUAUAUAGAUGUCACUAAGCAACUAUCGAAAUCAAUAAAGCCAUUAAACUAUGCUUUAAUUAGCAUCAGAACGUCUGAUCAGAAGUAAACCCUAAUUAAUGUCAGUUCGUACGUACCUGCUGAAGAACUCAUCGUGAAUGAGGUGUUGUUUCAAUCUUCUCUUCUCUCAGUUCCUUACAGUUCUUUUUCUCAAUAGAACUAUCGUACAUUGCAAACACUAUAACUUGAGAAGAGAGGCCAAAGACGUGCAUAUAUUUGACGGCAACUGCUCCUCCUAUUAUAGAGUCCUAAGAGGUUUUAACCACCUCUUAAUUCAAAACGAGUUCUCUUAAUAAUUUGUCUCUAUAGUAUUUAAAACUCUUACAUUAAUGAGAACAUUUUUGUUGAUUUGUUGAAAACUAAUGUAGGAGGAAUUUAUGUUUCUAAUCACUGUUUUGUGUUUAAGAGUCGGUCAGGUCGUACAGAUUCGUUGCAUUCCUACAGCCAUGGUGAGCAUGGGUCGCUGUAGUCUGCAACAUAACCUUAAUUUCCUAGUAUUUUUCAAAAAGAAAUUGCUUAAAUUCUUGUUUUGUUUGUGUGGUGACUUAUCGAAUGUUUUGUGAUUUUUUGGUCAACAGCAGCAAUUUGGUAUUCCGAUAUAUGCUCCAUUUUGCAUAGAUUAUAGAUUCGAGGUGGUAUAUAAAAAACUAUAUUUGAAGGAAAGGAUUUGAAUCUGAUCAAAGGUCUAAUUAAAUUGUCUAAAAAAACCUUGAAAACAUUGUGCUCAACGUAUUUGAAGUCAUGAUGGCCAAACAAUCCAAGCGGUGGAACAUACUACAACGGUACAACACUAGAUGGCGAAGAGCCGAUCAGAGCCAGUGAAGAGAAGAGGGAAGGCUUACUCUUCUUAGGAUCUUGUAGUCAAACUCGGGAUCAUUUGGAAUUCAUUUAUUUACUUCCUUUUCUUGUAGUCUAGACCUUGAUAAACAUGAAUUGUAAUGAUUUAAAUAAAAAACUUACCAUAUAAUGUUAUCAAGUUAUGAUGAGACGAUAUUAUACUAUAUAUUUUACCCUUAUCUUAUUAUUAAUUUAUUGGUUAUUUUGUGUGAACUUUGAUACUUUGUUAUAUAUUUUCAAUGUAGGAUAUUCGAUUUCCUCUGGAGCAAAACAUGAUGAAACGAACAAAUUUUGGAGUGAUUCAAAUUGGAGGACGUUCAUGUGUCUCUCAACUUGUUCAUGUCAAAGUUUCAUAAUUUUCUACUGAGCGGUUUAUUUAUGAUGAUGAAAUAAAGAAGCAGCGCGUCAAAGUGACGUUUUAGACUUAUUUGGGCUUUUUGGCGUCUAAGUUGAUGUUUUUUGGGUUCAAGGCCUUUUGCAAUUAUGUUCGGGACAUCUCAAGCUUUAAUUAAGGUCUUGUUGGGCUUAUUUUGGAACCUUGGAAGUCCAAAAAGUGGCUAAUUGUGGCUGGGUAGAUUUCCCAAAGUUAGAAUAUGAAUGUAUUUCAUAAUUAUCUUAUUCUAUUAUGUUUCCUAGUUUUUAGAAGACAUUUUCUAGUAAGGAUUUUAAUUAUGUAGUAGUAUAAAUAAGGCUUUUUAGCCAUUAAUGUGGAGAUAGAGAGAGGGGGGAAGAACGCAUUACUUUGGAGUUUUUGACGACUCAAGUUUAUUUUCAAGGUGUUUUC